rnacentral:tRNA from 1 species
CGGAGGGAUGGCCGAGUGGUCGAAGGCAGCUGACUCGAAAUCAGCCAGGGGUUCACGCCCCUCGGGGGUUCAAAUCCUCUUCCCUCCGCCAU